GCACCGGUAGUUUAAUGGCUAGAAUCCGGGCCUUCCAAGCCUGUGAUCCGAGUUCGAAUCUCGGCCGGUGCA
rnacentral:tRNA from 1 species